UGACAUAUCAGUAAGAAAAAGAUAACCCACAGAAAAAUGGACAGAUGACUGGAAUAGUGACUUCACACACAAAAGGAAAUCCAAAUGGCCAAUCAGUUCUCAGAUUCACUGGAAUUAAGGAAAUACAAAAUAAACUACAAUGAGAGACACCUCCUACACCCCCCUGGCUUGGCAAAAAUUGAAGUCCGACAAUAACAAGUGUUGGCAUGGGUGCAAAGAACAACGGAUACUCAUGCAUUGCUGGUGGGAUUGUAAAGACACUAGUUUGGAAAAUAGUUUUGCGUUAAUUAGUAAAGCUGAAGAGAUGCACUCCCCCUGACAUCCCCCUAAAAUCUCUUCCAAUAACUUUAAUAAGUGGCUCCCAAAGUAUGGUCCCUAUUCUCAGCUGGUAGCAUCAGCAUCACCUGGGAACUUCUUAGAAAUAUGAACUCUCAAAUGUAACCCCAGUUCCACUGAAUCAGACACCUGAGGGUGGAGCCUUGUCAUUUGUGAACCAUCUGGGUGAUGGUCAUGAGCUUUCAAGUAGAAGAAGCACCACCUGAGAGAAAUUUGUGAGCAUGGGUACAGGAUCCAUGAUAAAAAUGUUCACAGUAGCAACCACGUAUCCAUCAACAGGAACACAGUCCCUUCUAUUUAUACAAUGGAAUAGUACACUAAAAUACAUGCAUUAAAAAUGAAUGCAUUCCAUGGAUAAAACUUAUGGUCAGUCAUUAUGCUGAAGAAAAGAAGCAAGACACAAAUGAAAAAAAAAACCCUGAAGAGAAGAACGGAAUUGAUUACCAUAAAAUCCAGGAAAAUGCUUAUCAGUAUUGGAGAAGGAAGGAAGUAUGAUCAAGAAGGAGCUUGCAGUGGAGCGGAGUUUAUGAGGGGCUGACAAUAUUCCCUGUUUUGACCUGGGGAAAGAGAGUUGGGGACAGACUCGAAGAUGACUAUCAGCCAGAGUCAUUAUCCCUUCUUCUCCCUAAAUGUGUAGAGGAGUCGAAAAGCAACCAGGCUUCUCAGUAAGCGAGGUUGAUAUCACCCACUGAUCCAAGGUUCUGCUCCCACUUUUGACUUUGUUGUUUAUUUGCAAACUUCUUUAGUGAUUGCUGUUAGACUGGAUUCAUGCACAGUUAGAAGGAAAGAAAUAACACAUUAGUUCUUCCAAAUAUAAUAGUGAUGGUACAGAUGCUGGUUGGAUCAUACUUGAAUUGUCUGAGUUUAAAGCAGAAGGUACUUCUCAAACAAUUUUAAAGUCAGGUCCUUAUUUUUCUUUUGUUUCAAUUAAGACAGGUGUACCUUGGCCACAGGUCUAUGGUGAUUGAAUUGAUAGCUAUUUAUCCUACAUGGAUAAUAUCAUUCUUUUGUCAAUAGUAAUGAUCAUGUGAGUAUGAACACAUAAAAAAUAUAGCUACAUAUUAUGAUACAACAUACCAAGCACAGUGUUUGUACAGAGUAGGUGCUCGGUGAACACUCAACUGAUAUAAGCAGAUCUGUCAUAUAAAAAUAUGUCUAAAAUACAAGUAUUAUUAUAAAUUGUUAUAUAAUUUAGCUGUCUAAUUUUUCUGGUGUGUGUAUUUACUUUAUUAUUAUGUGAAUAUGUGUAUAUGGCAUAAAAUUAGCCAUUUUUGGUGUGCA